CCUACGGGAGGCUGCAGUGGGGAAUUUUGGACAAUGGGGGCAACCCUGAUCCAGCCAUGCCGCGUGAGUGAAGAAGGCCUUCGGGUUGUAAAGCUCUUUCGUCCGGGAAGAAAUCGCUCAAGCUAAUACCUUGGGUGGAUGACGGUACCGGAAGAAGAAGCACCGGCUCACUACGUGCCAGCAGCCGCGGUAAUACGUAGGGUGCGAGCGUUAGUCGGACGUACUGGGCGGAAGGCGUGCGCAGGCGGCGAAAGCCCCGGGCUUAACCUGGGAACUGCGUUUGUGACUGUGGUGCUCGAGUGCGGCAGAGGGGGGUGGAAUUCCACGUGUAGCAGUGAAAUGCGUAGAGAUGGGGAGGAACACCGAUGGAGAAGGCAGCCCCCUGGGUCGACACUGACGCUCAUGCACGAAAGCGUGGGGAGCAAACAGGAUUAGAUACCCGGGUAGUC
rnacentral:rRNA from 1 species